rnacentral:lncRNA from 1 species
UCUUUUGACUCUGCUAUGCUCUAUCCCUCUGUCCCUACAAUUCAUCUCAUCUAAGCUUUAUUUUGCAGGUGAGGAAGCUGACCAUCUGAGGUGCAGAUGGGGAAAGGGACUUUCUCCAAGGUGAUCCAGCUAGUGAGGAUUCACACCCAAGUCUGCUGUUUUCCCCCUGUAUCACUCUCACCGUGCCCUGCGUUUGAUUGAUGGGGAAAGGAGAAACAGGAGAGACUGCUGGAAGUUCAUGGUUCAGUGGAGAGAACCAGAGAGAGGUUCUGAGAGCCCAGGUACAGUGUCAGAGGCCACAUAGUCUGCUCUUCAAGGGCUAUGGGUCAGCCCUGAGGAUGUUUCCAGCCCAUUCCGGGCAGGUGCCAUUUUAGUCCUGUGCAUGUCCCCUUUUGAUAAGUCAGGCUCCCCAAGGACCAAACGCGGUAAAGGAGUGGCUCCAGAGCAAACAGAGGUGAGUACCCUGAGUCCCCCAAGUUUUGGGGAUCCCACAAGAAGCUCAGGGGAUCAGGAAAGGGAAUUUUGGUUGUUUUAAUGUGGAAGGGGCUUAAAGUAAGCUGGGUCUUGACCGAGAUUGGGGAUUCCAAAAGGUGAGGGUGAGGAGGAGGGCAUUCCUGGCCACCAGUAUAUAAGACCUGGGAAUGGGGGAUGGAGAACCCUGUGUGUGGAAAAGUGAGGAGGCUGGAUCAUAGACUCUAACAAGAGGAGUAAUGUCGAAGUGUCAUGGAUAGGUUGCAAGAAGCAUUAACCUUGUUCUUCUUGGCCCCAGGGGAGGAGACCUUAAAGCAGAGAUCUUACAAGAGGAAAAGAAGAUUUAAAAAAUAGGUUUGAUAAAAGGAAAAGUCAUCAUAGUUGUUAUUCAGUUGUGUGUUAUUUGGGAUUUUCUUGGCAGAUACCGGAGGGGUUUGCUAUUUCCUCAUCCAGCUCAUUUUACAGAUGAGAAAACUGAGGCAAAUAGGCUGAAGUGACUCACCCAGAGUCACACAGCUAGAAAGUGUGUGAGGCCAGAUCUGAACAAACGAAGAUGAGUCUUCCUGAAUCCAAGCCCAGUGUUCUAUCUAUUGCACCACCUAGCUACCCCUCAUUAUACCACUAUACUGUUUCCCUUAUAAUCAUCCAGCUGGACACAGGCAUACAGAAAACAUUUCCAGUUUCUAAAAUAAAUCCCUGGAAGCCCACA